rnacentral:rRNA from 2 species
AUCAAGCGCGAAAAGGGCGUUUGGUGGAUGCCUAGGCAGCAAGAGGCGAUGAAGGACGUGAUACCCUGCGUUAAGCCAUGGGGAGCCGGGAAUGGGCUUCGAUCCAUGGAUGUCCGAAUGGGGAAACCCACCUGAUUGUUCGUUGUUGUCCUACCGCUUCGCUACUUGAGGACUUGUCCGACAGUAGCAAGCGCGGGAUCAUCAAUGGGCAAAGACAGGUAUCUUAACCCUGAAUACAUAGGGGUUUUGAAGCGAACCCGGGGAACUGAAACAUCUAAGUACCCGGAGGAAAGGAAAUCAACAGAGACUCCGCUAGUAGUGGCGAGCGAACGCGGACCAGCCGAUCUCCGAAGAGUGACUGGAAUGGCCUGGAAAGGCCAGCCACAGCGGGUGACAGCCCCGUACAGGAAGCUCCAGGAGACAUAUCAAGUAGGGCGGGACACGUGAAAUCCUGUCUGAAGAUCGGGGGACCACCCCCGAAGGCUAAGUACUCCUUGCUGACCGAUAGCGAACCAGUACCGUGAGGGAAAGGUGAAAAGCACCCCGACGAGGGGAGUGAAACAGUACCUGAAACCGGACGCCUACAAGCAGUCGGAGGGUCCAUGAGACCUGACGGCGUACCUUUUGUAUAAUGGGUCAACGACUUGGUCUCACGAGCAAGCUUAAGCCGGUAGGUGGAGGCGCAGCGAAAGCGAGUCUUAAAAGGGCGUCGAGUUCGUGGGAUCAGACCCGAAACCAGGUGAUCUAGCCAUGAGCAGGAUGAAGUCAGGGUAACACCUGAUGGAGGUCCGAACCAACACCCGUUGAAAAGGGUCUGGAUGACUUGUGGCUAGGGGUGAAAGGCCAAUCAAACCUGGAGAUAGCUGGUUCUCCGCGAAAGCUAUUUAGGUAGCGCCUCGGACGAAUACCUCGGGGGGUAGAGCACUGCAUGGAUGAUGGGGGCCCACAGCCUUACUGAGUCUAAGCAAACUCCGAAUACCCGAGAGUACUAUCCGGGAGACACACGGCGGGUGCUAACGUCCGUCGUGAAGAGGGAAACAACCCUGACCUGCAGCUAAGGCCCCCAAUUCGUGGCUAAGUGGGAAAGCAUGUGGGACGGCCAAAACAACCAGGAGGUUGGCUUAGAAGCAGCCAUCCUUUAAAGAUAGCGUAACAGCUCACUGGUCUAGACAAGCUGUCCUGCGGCGAAGAUGUAACGGGGCUCAAGCCACGAGCCGAAGCUCAGGAUGCACAGCAAUGUGCGUGGUAGCGGAGCGUUCCGUGAUAUAGCUCAUUGUGUGUUUAUCGAACGCACCACCGGUCCGAACGAGGGCACUGCCCUCAAGUAGCGAAGCGGUAGGGCGCGCGGUAGCGCACACAAAGAGCUUUCUGUGAAGCCGGGCCGUAAGGCAUCCGGUGGAGAGAUCGGAAGCGAGAAUGUUGACAUGAGUAGCGACAAACAGGGUGAGAGACCCUGUCGCCGAAAGUCCAAGGGUUCCUGCUUAAAGCUAAUCUGAGCAGGGUAAGCCGGCCCCUAAGGCGAGGCCGAAAGGCGUAGUCGAUGGGAACCAGGUUAAUAUUCCUGGGCCAGGAGGAUGUGACGGAUCGCAGGUGUAGUUCGGUCUUAUCGGAUUGACCGGGCUGCUGAGCGGUCCCUGGAAAUAGCCCUCCAUCAGACCGUACCCCAAACCGACACAGGUGGACUGGUAGAGAAUACCAAGGCGCUUGAGAGAACCACAUCAAAGGAACUCGGCAAAAUGCCUCCGUAAGUUCGCGAGAAGGAGGCCCCGUCUGUAGGCAACUAUGGGCGGGGGGCACAAACCAGGGGGUGGCGACUGUUUACUUAAAACACAGGGCUGUGCGAAGCCGCAAGGCGACGUAUACAGUCUGACGCCUGCCCGGUGCUGGAAGGUUAAAAGGAGGAGUGCAAGCUCCGAAUUGAAGCCCCAGUAAACGGCGGCCGUAACUAUAACGGUCCUAAGGUAGCGAAAUUCCUUGUCGGGUAAGUUCCGACCUGCACGAAUGGCGUAACGAUCUCCCCGCUGUCUCUGAUGUGGACUCAGCGAAAUUGAACUGUGUGUCAAGAUGCACACUUCCCGCGGUUAGACGGAAAGACCCCAUGAACCUUUACUAUAGCUUCGCACUGGCAUCAGGAUUGUGAUGUGCAGGAUAGGUGGUAGGCAUCGAAGCGGGGACGCCAGUUCCCGUGGAGCCAACCUUGAGAUACCACCCUUCGCCAUCUUGAUGUCUAACCGCGGCCCGUUAUCCGGGUCCGGGACCCUGCGUGGUGGGUAGUUUGACUGGGGCGGUCGCCUCCCAAACAGUAACGGAGGCGCGCGAUGGUGGGCUCAGACCGGUCGGAAAUCGGUCGUCGAGUGCAAUGGCAGAAGCCCGCCUGACUGCAAGACUGACAAGUCGAGCAGAGACGAAAGUCGGCCAUAGUGAUCCGGUGGUCCCGAGUGGAAGGGCCAUCGCUCAACGGAUAAAAGGUACUCUGGGGAUAACAGGCUGAUGAUGCCCAAGAGUCCAUAUCGACGGCAUCGUUUGGCACCUCGAUGUCGGCUCAUCUCAUCCUGGGGCUGGAGCAGGUCCCAAGGGUAUGGCUGUUCGCCAUUUAAAGAGGUACGUGAGCUGGGUUUAGAACGUCGUGAGACAGUUCGGUCCCUAUCUGCCGUGGGUGUAGGAGACUUGAGAAGAGUUGCCCCUAGUACGAGAGGACCGGGGUGAACGAUCCACUGGUGGACCAGUUGUCGUGCCAACGGCAGUGCUGGGUAGCUAUGAUCGGACAGGAUAACCGCUGAAGGCAUCUAAGCGGGAAGCCCCCUUCAAAACAAGGUCUCCCUUGAGGGCCGUGGAAGACCACCACGUCGAUAGGCCAGAGGUGUAAGCGCAGCAAUGCGUUCAGCUGACUGGUACUAAUUGCCCGAUAGGCUUGAUCUG